UUAGGCUGCUGUGGAUUGAAAGUGUUUCUUUGUGUCUGCUUGAGCAGCCUCCUUGCCUGGUGUGCUGGGUUUCUUGGGUGGUGGGUGGUGGUGUUGCAUCUGUUGCAGAGGCUGGGUACUAAAAUUUAGAUGCCCAAAGGCAAAAACAUUGAAAUUGUUGCUUUUCUGUGGAGGUGCCAGAAGAUAGAACUGUGCAGUAAGGGGCCCACAGAUAAGCCCUGGGAUUUGGAAUGCUCUCAUGGAGUGCUGUCAUGCUGCCUUUUCCCAGAGUGUGACACCAUCAGCUGCAUCUUGACUGUAUGUGGCAGGACAGGCUCGUCUGCUCUGAAAUAAAUUGCUAAAGAUGAUCCUUCCUCUCCAAGUUCUUUUUAUGUAUUUGAAGAGCAUCUCCAGACUAGCUGUUCGAUUAAAGAUUGAAUACUGCAACUCCAAUUUCUACACGAAAUCCAAUACUC